UGUGUUUGCGUAUAGGCCUCGGGCGCUGCUGUUUCAAAUCAGACAUGCAGCGCCACGGCGGCGGCGGCUGGCGAAAUGUCCCUGUUCCCUGCGCGCAGCCGCGCCUAGCCGCAGCAGGUGGACGAUGGCCCCUAUCAGUGCAAGCGUGUGCACGCGGCGAAAACAGUCGAUUUCUAUCUACUGUUGCGAGUGCGGAUGUUAUAACAGCUACAAGAACACGGCCGGGAAACUGCCGAAGGUGCUGUUUUAUCAUUUUCCUUGGAAAUCGUACGAGGCUGAUAGGCGACAACGUUGGAUCGCUGCCGUUCGGCGCACCAGCCCGAAUGGAGAUUUGUGGCAACCAGUGCAACGCAAGACAGUCAUUUGCAGUGCUCACUUUGUCGGUAACAAAUCGAGCACGAUUGCCCCGGCUAUCCCGCCUAUGUGCCAACUCUGUUUCCGCCGUGUUACAGAAGUGAUGCGGUACUACCGGCACGAAAGCUCGACAGAUAUAAGAUGGUUCAGCGGCGUCGCGCGUGCUUCAAGCACAGACAUCCUAGAGCGCGAUCACGGCGUCUGCGGAUUCCUUUGAGAAUUCCUCGACUGACCUCGCCGACGAAAUCAUUGCAUCACCGUAAGAAACUGGCACAUCCGCAUCCGUGAUGGCCCAGACAGAUGCAGAUUUUAACGGAGGCGUUUGCACUCUGUUCCUCUCUGUGACAGCAGAAGGCGCCGCAUCCACACAAGUUAGCCAUACAAACAUUGUUGAGAAAUGUGUACAAGCAUGUGCAUCUGUGAGAUCGACAGCUAUGGCACCGAACGAGCGCAACUGUGCAUUUCUUGGCUCUUCAUUCGUGCGACGCAUUUUCCUAUGAUUUCCGACGGACCGACGGCACUGUGUAGUUCUUCUCUCACGCAGCAAACGUGAUUAGCGGAGUACAAGUCGCCACCACGAAGCAAACUACUUCGUUUGAAGCAUUCCUGAACGUUUGCUAUUCGUCCGCAGCCGCAAAACAGCAAGCGGGGCUCGUUUUGCGUUGCCAUUUUCACGCGCCGACGUUCACCGCACACAACUUCGAGCGACGCGCCGGGAAGGGAACAGGGACAAAAUGCGCGAUGUAGCCGCAUUGGCGCUGCGCACUUGGAGAGCGGUGGCGCCACCAACUGAGCGCACGAGGAGUGUAACCUAUAACAAUAAAACAUGCUGAACAAGAGCGUACCUUCAAGACA